rnacentral:rRNA from 1 species
ACGAACGCUGGCGGCGUGCUUCACACCUGCCAGUCGAACGGAAAGGCCUUUUCGGAGGUACUCGAGUGGCGAACGGGUGAGUAACACGUGGGUGAUCUGCCCUGCACUCUGGGAUAAGCCUGGGAAACUGGGUCUAAUACCGGAUAGGACCGCACUUUAGUGUGUGUGGUGGAAAGUUGUUUCGGUGUAGGAUGAGCCCGCGGCCUAUCAGCUUGUUGGUGGGGUAAUGGCCUACCAAGGCGGCGACGGGUAGCCGGACUGAGAGGUUGGUCGGCCACAUUGGGACUGAGAUACGGCCCAGACUCCUACGGGAGGCAGCAGUGGGGAAUAUUGCACAAUGGGCGCAAGCCUGAUGCAGCGACGCCGCGUGGGGGAUGACGGCCUUCGGGUUGUAAACUCCUUUCGCCAGGGACGAAGCGUUUUGUGACGGUACCUGGAGAAGAAGCACCGGCUAACUACGUG